rnacentral:piRNA from 1 species
UGGCUUCAUGGGAAACCUACAUCUAA